GUUUCUUUGUUAUGCAUGCUUUCCUUUGUUCUGUAACAUUUUGGCGGGAAAGUCAAAUCCACUAUAAAACUUAUAAUCAAUUAUACGGAAAAGACUAUCUAUCGAAAUUCACGUAGAAAAAAUCCUGUGUAUAUGCUGGGAUUCGAACUCAAGACCUUUAGCAUAUCAAGCCAAGACACAUACCACUACACCAGGACGACUGGAUGCGAACUACCAGUAAUUUAAC
rnacentral:lncRNA from 1 species